UACGAGUGGUGCAAGCGUUAUUCGGAAUCAUUGGGCGUAAAGGGUGUGUAGACGGCUUACUAAGUCAACUGUUAAAUUCUCCGGCCUAACCGGAGGCCAGCAGUAGAAACUGGUGAGCUCGAGGGUGGAAGAGAGAAGCGGAAUUCUCGGAGUAGCGGUAAAAUGCGUAGAUCUCGAGAGGAACACCAAUGGCGAAGGCAGCUUCUUGGUCCACUACUGACGUUGAGACACGAAAGCGUGGGGAGCAAACAGG
rnacentral:rRNA from 1 species